rnacentral:rRNA from 1 species
GACGAACGCUGGCGGCGUGCUUAACGCAUGCAAGUCGAACGGAAAGGCCCUGCUUUUGUGGGGUGCUCGAGUGGCGAACGGGUGAGUAGCACGUGAGUAACCUGCCCUUGACUUUGGGAUAACUUCAGGAAACUGGGGCUAAUACCGGAUAGGAGCUCCUGCUGCAUGGUGGGGGUUGGAAAGUUUCGGCGGUUGGGGAUGGACUCGCGGCUUAUCAGCUUGUUGGUGGGGUAGUGGCUUACCAAGGCUUUGACGGGUAGCCGGCCUGAGAGGGUGACCGGCCACAUUGGGACUGAGAUACGGCCCAGACUACUACGGGAGGCAGCAGUGGGGAAUAUUGCACAAUGGGCGGAAGCAUGAUGCAGCAACGCCGCGUGCGGGAUGACGGCCUUCGGGUUGUAAACCGCUUUCGCCUGUGACGAAGCGUGAGUGACGGUAAUGGGUAAAGAAGCACCGGCUAACUAC